CCGAGUGGUUAAGGCGUCUGACUAGAAAUCAGAUUCCCUCUGGGAGCGUAGGUUCGAGUCCUACCGACUGCGUUGAAAAAAUGUUAACCGCAAAUUGCUUGCUGUGUGGUUUCACAUCGGGUAUAAUUGACUGAACUAAAACCCACUCGUUUUCUCUAAUUCUCCUUUUUUAUAAGUGCGCAUCUCAAAGGAAUAGGAAAAGAAAGUGCUAAAUAUUGGAAUAAUAUGCAUAGGUGUGUAUGCGAAGUGGUAAUAGGUAUCUUCAGUGAUAACAUCUUUAUGUAUGUAUAUGUGUAUGCGUACAUAAGCCAGCCAGUCAGCUCCCAUAAGAUAUCACGUGUAAAGUUCUCGAAGAAAAAAAAGAAGAAGAAGAA